GUAUCCUUUAAAUUGGUCCAGAGAGGCCGGUAAGGAAUAGAAGCUCGAACUGUGUUUGGCUAAAAGUUUAGAUUUAAAACGGCCAGCAAAGUAGGGCAGCUACUAAUAGAUUUUAAACUCCUUAUCAGGCUCAAACUGGUAGGGAGUUUUUUUA
rfam:Halanaerobium kushneri strain ATCC 700103 genome assembly, contig: Ga0104713_113